rnacentral:rRNA from 1 species
UUAUCGGAGAGUUUGAUCCUGGCUCAGGACGAACGCUGGCGGCGUGCCUAAAACAUGCAAGUCGAG